AGUCGAGCGGACAGAUGGGAGCUUGCUCCCUGAUGUUAGCGGCGGACGGGUGAGUAACACGUGGGUAACCUGCCUGUAAGACUGGGAUAACUCCGGGAAACCGGGGCUAAUACCGGAUGGUUGUUUGAACCGCAGGUUCAAACAUAAAAGGUGGCUUCGGCUACCACUUACAGAUGGACCCGCGGCGCAUUAGCUAGUUGGUGAGGUAACGGCUCACCAAGGCAACGAUGCGUAGCCGACCUGAGAGGGUGAUCGGCCACACUGGGACUGAGACACGGCCCAGACUCCUACGGGAGGCAGCAGUAGGGAAUCUUCCGCAAUGGACGAAAGUCUGACGGAGCAACGCCNCGUGAGUGAUGAAGGUUUUCGGAUCGUAAAGCUCUGUUGUUAGGGAAGAACAAGUACCGUUCGAAUAGGGCGGUACCUUGACGGUACCUAACCAGAAAGCCACGGCUAACUACGUGCCAGCAGCCGCGGUAAUACGUAGGUGGCAAGCGUUGUCCGGAAUUAUUGGGCGUAAAGGGCUCGCAGGCGGUUUCUUAAGUCUGAUGUGAAAGCCCCCGGCUCAACCGGGGAGGGUCAUUGGAAACUGGGGAACUUGAGUGCAGAAGAGGAGAGUGGAAUUCCACGUGUAGCGGUGAAAUGCGUAGAGAUGUGGAGGAACACCAGUGGCGAAGGCGACUCUCUGGUCUGUAACUGACGCUGAGGAGCGAAAGCGUGGGGAGCGAACAGGA
rnacentral:rRNA from 1 species